AUGCUUUUAGGCAUGCAAACUUUGGAAAAAAUAUAUGUUGGUUCGACGAUAUUCGAGACAGACUGUGCGGCUGUUGUGGAGGCCCUCAAUGCAAAGUCUGUGAUCAGGCCAAGAUGGUGGGCUACUUAUAACGAUUCUUUGGAAUUGUUGAAGAAUUCCCCAUCCUGGAGAGUGACAAAGAUUGGAAGAGAGAGCAACGUGGCUGCACAUAAACUUGCUGCUUACGCUAGAUCUAAUGGCAGUUUUUUUAUGAUGAGCAGUGUGCCGUGUAGUAUAACUGAUGUAAUCUUGAAAGAUAGUACUCCGGGUACAAGUAAUAUAUAA
rnacentral:rRNA from 1 species